CUCGUAGGUGGCCAACUAAGUCAGACGUGAAAUCCCUCGGCUUAACCGGGGAACUGCGUCUGAUACUGGAUGGCUUGAGUUUGGGAGAGGGACGCGGAAUUCCAGGUGUAGCGGUGAAAUGCGUAGAUAUCUGGAGGAACACCGGUGGCAAAGGCGGCGUCCUGGACCAACACUGACACUGAUGAGCGAAAGCCAGGGGAGCAAACG
rnacentral:rRNA from 1 species